GAAUAGCUACACAUAGCAGCCCUUCAAUGCAAAGUGAAAGCAACGAAAGAGAGUGUUUCUCGGUGUCCAGCUUGCUGUGAUAACAGAGGGGUUGGAGUGCUGUGUCCAGUAAAAAGAAGCGAUGUCUUUGAAAAAUGUCAACAAGUUCCCAAACUUGGCAGACUCAGAGCAUCUCCGAUGAGAAAUGCUAAAUGAAUUAACGUAAAGUUUGAAAACAGGGGAUGAAAAGGAGGCAAUCCUUGACCAUAAAAACUUUGAAUAACAUAAACAAGAAUUUUCUUUUGCUUCAUCUUCUCCCUUCAGCUCACUGCACACGAUUUUCAGCUUAGCUCAAAACCACCCAUUGCAGCCAACAAACUUUCCCUCCUCCACUAAACCCACACGAUUUCAGUCUCAACCCAGCUGGGACUCCACAACUGGAAGCAAGGUUCUUUGAGAUUAACACACGCACGACUGGAAGCUAAUUAAUCACCCGGGUAGGACUGGGACAAUCAAAGGCAGCUGUUCUUCUUCAAGGGAAGGUGCUUUGAGAUUUCAUGUUGCUCUAUUUUCUUGCAUCAGUUUUUUUAAGAGGAAGAGGCAAGUGCA